rnacentral:misc_RNA from 1 species
GGACAUUAUAUAUUUCAAUAGAUUUAAAAAAAAUGCAAUAAUAAGUCCUCCAAUUCAACCAAUGCCCACUGAAAUCAUGCAAUAAUCAAGAAAACAUUGAUCUCAUACGAAAAUUAUUAGUUUUGAAGUCAUGCAUCCGCCUAAAAUGCAAAAUGAAAUGAAAUAGAUACAACACACCGUCUAUUAACACACUGAAAUAUCAACAGAAAAGAAAAUAAAGCAUGGAAAUUAACCUGCCUACCAGUGACAUCACUACAACUAUAUGCAGUGUAUAAUAAUUGUUUGUCUACUUAGAUUUCUUGCCCAUUAUUCUCUGGGAAAACUUUUUGACAAGACUCUAAUCUGAGCUAUUAUGAACUUCCAAGCCAAAUCCUCUUCAAGUUUCACGAGCUUCUCAAUCUACCGGAGCACCAACAUGCUCUGUUUCUGCAUCAAAAGCAAAUUUAUAGAGCAUGUUAACACAUGAUUCAAUCCAAAUGAUUUCUUUUUAGAUAAGCACAAUUGUUAUCAUAUAAAAAGGAUAAGGAAAUUAAUACAUAGCAUAUAAAAAAUUAAAAAGAACACAGGCAAUAUGUAAUAUGAGGAGAAUGAAAAGAUCUCAGAACUGGAGCAUAUUCACUCAUUGUUCACCUAUGAACUAUGCAAAUAAUGAUAAAUCCAAGACAUCAUUACCCCUUUAGAGCUUAGAUGAUUUUUGAAGCAAAUUUAAGCAAUAACAAAUAGAAAAGCGGAGAGGAGUUUACUCGUUCAAUAACUCUAAAAGAAAAAAAGAAAAAAAAAAUAAUUGUGAAAGCUGCAUAAUUGAAUAUAUGGUGACAAAUGGCCCUCAACAGCUUUUUUGAACUGACCAGGCAGCCCAUACAACACAGUUGUGACAGAAAAGGAUUGAGUUGAGGGAAGUGCCACGAAGGAUGGCCACCAGUGACAACCACAAAACAAUGAAAACAAGGCCAGAGUUACUUGCAGUACCAUAACAUCUUAUGUGAUAUUAAACAAUCAUGAAAUUUAAAUGAUGAUUUGUAAAAUUGACAUUACUAAGCAAUUGAAUACAAACAAAGCAGGUGUAAAUGAAAAUUAAAAUUCUUGCAUCUUUAACAGGGUACGAAAAAAAAGAAUAAGAAGCAUAAAGUAUCCGCAAAAUUUAUAACCUAGUACACAAGAUUAUGCAGUGGACAUCAACCAAUCCCAGUACUUGAAUAAUCAUAUACUCUCAAUACCAAACAAGUCAUGCAAAAAUGAAACGAUGGUUUUUGAUGCAUGUAAGUUGAUAGAUAAUCCUAACCUGAAAUUAUCUGUUGGAGCCAGUAAAAACAUCAAAUAAACCACAGCAACUUGUCCAGGAGGUUCUCUGUGAUACUUGUGUAGCUGGAGGUACAAGAGGCUGGGUUUCAGUAUACUCAGAAAUCCUUGUAUCUUUGGCAUUAUUGGUAUCAUUACUAGUUUCAGAAGUGCAAGUUCCUGAUGAUGUUGACGUCUUAGCCUCAUUUCCACUUACAGUACCAUUCAAAGUCCCCAAGUCACUGACAUUUUCUGCAUAAAUGCUAGUUUCAGAACUAAGAGCACCUGGCGAUGUCAAGACCUUAUUCUCAUUUCCAUUUACAGUAGAACUAACGACAUUUGUUGAUGCCCCAACAUUUUCAUCCAAGAGGGGGGAAAAGCUAUCCUUAUUUUUCUUUGGUACCAAACUAGAUACAACAUCACUUAGCAAUUUAUCCUCAUUUUCUUUCAACCCUGGUUCAACAACACCCAGAGCCUCGGAAUUCUCAACUUCAACACCUUCCAUCACAUGUUUUGCCACAUCAGACAUAGGCACCACAGGUGUAACCAAAACAACAGUAUGGGCAGUGUCUGCAACAGAAUUACCAGUUGCUUCCUUAAUUGAUUUUUCAAUUUCCAAAACCUGUGUCUCCUCUUCAGGAAAUACCUUCUCCACGAUACCUGAAGCUGAAUUAUCGGCUUCCUCCUUCCAUUUCAUGUCAAAAACUCGAGACUCAUCAUCAGAACUACUGCUGCUAGAGCUUUUGUCAUCUCCAUCAUGUGACUCCUUUGCAGACUCAACGUGCUCCACGCUAACUUCUUUACUCUCCAUAUACUGUUCAGGGUUCAGGUCUCUCUCAAUUAUAACAACAGUGUCAUCCUCUACUCCAACUUUUUGGCUUCCUUCUGCAUCCUUAGUGACUCCCUCAACAGGCUUGCAUUCAGAGGCAAACGACGAUGAGUCUGUCUUCUCAGAUUCUUCAUUCUCCUCAUUAAAUGAAUGCUGCUCGCUAUUGUGUUCCCGUGAUGCAGGGGAACCAACCUCACCACCAUCGCUCUCCCUCUCAUCCUGGCUUUUUGGAUCACCAUUUCCUCGAGGGCUACUGUUGUCGACAGAAGAAGAAUUGUUGCUGUUAUUGUUGGACUGCUGUUCCUUCUUUUUCUUAGCUGCUUUUCUCUUCUUUGCACCUGAUGGCAUGAUUGAUCGUGCCCUUUCUCACUUGUCGCGGGGCAACAACCGAAAAGAAAAAAUAUACCCAGAUCGUGGGGUGUCCCCAAGGCCCUAGACCCCUCUCUCCCUCUUCGUAUUCUCUGUAA